rnacentral:rRNA from 1 species
CAGUAGCCACGGUAAUACGAAGGUCCCGAGCGUUGUUCGGAACCACUGGGCGUAAAGGGAGCGUAGGCGGCGUGGUAAGUCAGAUGUGAAAUCCCGGGGCUCAACCCCGGAACUGCAUCCGAUACUGCCAUGCUAGAGGAUUGGAGAGAUAGCUGGAAUUCUUGGUGUAGCAGUGAAAUGCGUGGAGAUCAAGAGGAACACUCGUGGCGAAAGCGAGCUACUGGACAAUAACUGACGCUGAGGCUCGAAGGCCAGGGUAGCGAAAGGGAUUAGAGACCCCCGUAGUCCCUGUCUCUUAUAC